AUGGGCGAGGAACCGAUUAAAUUUCAUGGUUCAUCUCGCCCGACGGUCCUGCUCCCUUCCCGUGGCCUGCACCUUCCUCUCAGCCGCCUCAGCCGCCUCACCCCACUCCAACCCUCCGCCCCGUGCGUUCUCGACGCCGCGGCUAGCACCGGACUUCUACUCAUCACCCUCGCGCCGCUCAGCCGUGCCGUCGUCCGUUGGAGGCAAGGCGCCGCCGACUCGCCUCGGAUCAACCACGACUUGCCCGUCCACGUCAUCAACAGGACGUCCCCGGCACACCCCCGGACUUCGAUUCUUGUUCACGAAGAGUUCGUCGUCGGUUGGAGGCAAGACACCGACGACUCGCCUCCGAUCAACCACGACUUGCCCGUCCACGUCAUCAACAGGACGUCCCCGCCGCACCCCUUGGACUUCUAUUCUUCUUCAUCAAGGAGAUCGUCGGCAGAAGGUUGUCAUCACCAACAGGUGUGGAGUGACAAAUGGAAGGACUACAUCAGUGUUAAAGGAGGCUUCUUCCAGGAAGGCGAUGGGUAUAAUAUAUUCGCGAGUUACAAAAAAUGUGACCAUGAUUGUGCUGUAGCGGAACUUCCAGAUUCCAUGAAGGAGGAAUGGUAUAAGAGAUAUUUCAUUGCUGAGGAGAAGAUGCCAAGGGUAGUCACAGAGACGCUUAAAACUGUACUGGAGACAAACAUUGGUACAAUUGAACAGCGGAACGGUUAUACCUUCAGAUUUCCCAAUUGUCACAAAGACAACAUGGAGUAUGAUGAGAACUCGAAGGCAAAGUCUGAUGGGAUCAUUAAUGACCUCUGCUGCAUGACAGGGUGCAGGCGGAAGUCCCUCAAUGUGGUCCCCGCCGAACGAGGCGUGGUGAUGGGAAAUAUUCUCUUAAGGAUGAAGGGGGGCAACAAUGUAAGUUGCUCACUUGGAACACCAAUCCCAAGAAAACCUGAACUUAUUCAAGAUGUUGUAGUCCACGAAGAUGCAGGUGACAUCGAGUACAUCCUCGUUGUUGAAAAGUAUACCAUGAUGACAUACUUGGAAGAGAUGGAUUACCAUAACAAGCAUCAUUGCAUUAUAUUGACUGGUUUGGGAAUGCCUAGCAUAUCAACCAGGCAGUUCCUGAAAUGGCUUAAAGACCACACUGGACUACCUGUAUAUGGAUUGUGUGAUCCUGACCCCGAGGGAAUUGAAAUAAUAUCUGUUUAUGCCCGAGGUUCCGUAAAUGCUGCGUUUGACAAUUUCAACAUUUCUGUACCUUCAAUAAGGUGGAUUGGACUCUCAACAUUGGAUCUAGACGAUUAUGGGUUGAAGUUACCAGGCUUCUGUUUUGCCGAUCUUACAGAUCUUGAUACAACAACACUGUCAAAUAUUUGCAGUGACACAAUGUCAAAUGAAUGGCAACCCAAAACAGAAUUAUAUCCAAGGAGCAAAGUAUUUUCUUCAACCGAGCUCUGUGUCAUUGACGUUAAGCCUGGGUGUAAAAUCAGGUUUUCAAUUGAGUAUGGCUUCAUUUGGCAACUCACUCAGGCUGUUCUUGUAAAAUCAAAGGAAGCAGACAUGGCAACUAUGUUUGUGAAAGUUGGUGACAAAAGGAUAUGCAUCGGAACACUUUGCAGUGAUAGAUUCCCGCAAACUAACUUUGACCUGUUUUUCGAGAAAGAUUUUGAACUAUCACACACAUCUUCAUCAGCCACCGUCAGCUUCCGUGGCUACAAUAUUUUCCAUCCAGCUAAAGGCGAUGAAUAUCCUAAUAAUCACAAGCAAUUUUGUGCAUGUUUUGUUUCCUUGACCUCCACCCUGGUUCCACGAUCGCUUUUGAUUAUGACGGAUCUGGAGGUACAUUUCACAAUACUUGGUGGUAUUUCUGUGUUUAUGCACCUGGCAAGGAUUUUUAACCAGUCUGUUCCAAUUUCAGAUAAGAAUGGUGACAAUGAUGCUGUUGAUGAUGAUGGUGCGGAUGAUGACGAUGACGAUGACCAGUUUUCUUGUCCGAGAGAGAACAAUAGUGACAAUGAUGCUGUUGAUGAUUAUGGUGCGGAUGAUGACGAUGACCAGUUUUCUUGUCCGAGAGAGAACAAUAGUGACAAUGAUGCUGUUGAUGAUUAUGGUGCGGAUGAUGACGAUGACCAGUUUUCUUGUCCGAGAGAGAACAAUAGUGACAAUGAUGCUGUUGAUGAUGAUGGUGCGGAUGAUGACGAUGACCAGUUUUCUUGUCCGAGAGAGAACAAUAGUGAAGGUCAGAGUGAUGAAAACGAGGAAGAACAAAAACUUAAGAAGUCGGAGCAUGUUAAUAAGAGAGCAGCUGGAAGUGCUUUCAAGGUGGCUACUUCCAAUAAGAAGCCAAAGGUGGCAAAAAUGUCUGACCCUAAGACAGGUGACAAUGGGGCUCUCCAUGUGGCGACUGUGCACCUGGCAAAGAAGGCAGGCCCUGCAACCAAUGAAAAGCCCCCCAAGUUCAGCCUGCAAGUCUUGCAACAUGACAAGCAAGAGGUUAUUAUCGAGAAGAUUGUCCGCAACAAGCGCAAAUGUGUUACUGUGGUGAAAGGCCUGGAAUUGUUCGGUAGUUCUAUAGUUGCAGAUCCAAGCUUGAGCAGAACCUGCCUCAAGCUCCAUGAUAGUGUAAAUUUGAGUGAUGCUUCAAAGAAGUUUGGAAAGAAGUUUGCUGCUGGAGCUUCAGUUGUCAAGUGUGUUUCCCAGUGCCCAAACAAGAAGGAGCAAAUAGAUGUCCAAGGGGAUCUAUCGUAUGCUGUUGUGGAAUUCAUUAAAAAUACAUGGCCUGAUGAGUGUGUGGCCGAUUGGGCACAGGAGCAGGAGCACGGAGCGAUGCUGGUGGCACAGAUGAGGGACCAGAACCGGGCCUCGCUGUCUCUGGUGACGGGAGCACGGGUGAGGCAGGCGGGGAUGCAGGACACUCGAUGGAGGACGAGACAUGAGAGCAUCCAUACCAAAAACACUAGCAUCGACGCUAGCGUAAGAGGCUGCCUUCAAGCUCAAAAGCAAUGGUCCAGACCCACCGGUCAGCCAUAUGAAUCUGACUCGUGCCUCCGCCGUCGCCAUAGCUUUGAGCUUCUCUGA
rnacentral:rRNA from 1 species